rnacentral:rRNA from 1 species
AACCAGAAGGCGCAAUGAAAGUGAAGGCACGGUCGCCGUGCCGAGGUGAGAGCUGUCUCACGGCAGCGCAUCAUCGACCGAUCCCAUCCGCUCCCCCGUGGUGCGGCGGGAUUCGAGUAAGAGUGUACCUGUUGCGACCCGAAAGAUGGUGAACUAUGCCUGAAUAGGGUGAAGCCAGAGGAAACUCUGGUGGAGGCCCGUAGCGAUUCUGACGUGCAAAUCGAUCGUCAAAUUUGGGUAUAGGGGCGAAAGACUAAUCGAACCAUCUAGUAGCUGGUUCCCUCCGAAGUUUCCCUCAGGAUAGCUGUAGCCCGAAGCAGUUUUAUCAGGUAAAGCGAAUGAUUAGAGGUAUCGGGGAAGAAACUUCCUCGACCUAUUCUCAAACUUUAAAUAGGUAAGAAGUCCGACUUGCUCAAUCUGAAGCCGGACACAGAAUGCUGGGUUACUAGUGGGCCAUUUUUGGUAAGCAGAACUGGCGAUGCGGGAUGAACCGAACGCUGAGUUAAGGUGCCAAAGUCGACGCUCAUCAGAUCCCACAAA